GAAGAGAAAUGCUCUUCCUCAUGGUCGCCUCUCUCUCUCUCUCUCUCCGGGCUCCGGCCACCGGCGACCAGCCGGAGGAACCCUUCUUUGGCGCCGCCAGGUUCCUCGCACGCAGGACAGACGGAUUGGCCGGCCGGGGCGGCUUGCUUGCUCCUCCUCCGUCUCCGACGAAACCCGCGCUAGGGCUCGCCGCCGCCGCCGCCGCUUCCUCCGUCUAUGUCGCCGCCGUGGGUACUCGAUGGCAGGGAUACAUAUUACUGGAGUUUCAUUAUGUACAUGGAAAGAGAGAGGUCCUUUUCGGAAUUAGGUGAGAAUGCAGCACGUUCUAAAACUAUGAUUUACACUAGAAGCAUGCACAAAUUGUAUUGCUGGAGAUGAUCUCCAAUCCGCACAGUUCUGAGGCUUAUAGCUCCAAUGCCAGGGGCUCACUACUGCCUCUUGAGAAUAUUGCUGCCAGUGAAGGGAGUGCUAAGACUAAGCAGUGAUUUGGACCCCCUCUAAUUGGAUCUAUUUUCCAUGCAUGGUGUAUAAUAAAGGAAAAUGCUGGAAGAAUUCAGAGCCACUAAUGUAGCAUACUGUUACUUAUGAAAUAUGGCACUGCCUAGCAUGCUCAUAAUCCAUACCAGCAUUUCUAAAAAUCUACCAUAAGCAUAUCAACAUUUGAUAGAACUGGCUUGAUGCCUGGAUCACACGCUCCAGUGUUCUCCCCAGGAAGGACUACACUAUUCUCUGAAGAAAAAGGAGUGCGGCCGUUGAUAGGUCUGAGAUUUCAUGUAUUCAGGCAUAAAGAACAAGCUUGAUUGUACUUCAGCAUCUGAACAUGUAUAUGACACAAAUUAAUUAUGGGGCACGCAUUGCGAUGCCUGAACAUAUUGUACUUUAACAUCAGCACAUAGAUGGGAGAGGAAACAACAUGGGGAAGGGCAGCCCAGAACAGCAUAUCAAAAGUUGAGCAGCAGGUGCACUUGCUGCUGUACUUGGAGGGCAUAUACAAUACACCGUGGCACGAGGGGAGCGUCAGUGCGAUUCUUAAGCACUUGAGAUGGAAGAGGAGGCCUCAUCUCUUCUUUUAAGGGCUUCUUUUCUUCCAGGCCACCAUCAGCUGCAUCUCAAAAAGGCUAUUGUUGCCUUUAAUUUGCAGACACCCACACAAAUAUUGUGAGCUUGAUUGCAGGUUGAGGUUAUUUAUCUUUUAUAUGGAGGUGCAGAGGCAGAGCGAUCUCAGCAACAGAAAGGAACAAUAGCGGAUCAUUGAAGGGGUUUAGAGAGGACAAAACAUACUGGAAUCAUGCUAACUUACAGAAAUCUCAGAGUGAUCCGCCCUAACAUUGUUAUCAACAGAAUGUGAGCUUGUAAUAGCAUUUUGGUUCGCUGUUUCCGUUAUCGCUAAUGGAAUCCGGACACUAUUGAGGGCGGGUUUUUUAAAACAAAAAAACUCAGUGUUGGUAAGCUGGAACUAACCAAAUGUACACAUAUUUUGUACUGCUGUAUUGUUUUCUGAAUGUACAGUCACCUUGAGGUCUUUUGGAUUUAUGGCAAACAACUACAAACUUUAAUUGGUAUCCUUAUGUGACAUAUUCAUGUGAUUCGUACUUCAUGACAAGGAGAAAUGCAAUAUAGCUGAUCAUUUGGUUCAA